GUGAGGAAUAUUGCGCAAUGGAGGCAACUCUGACGCAGCCAUGCCGCGUGCAGGAAGAAGGCGCUACGCGUUGUAAACUGCUUUUAACCGGGAAGAAACCCCAGGACGUGUCCUGGGUUGACGGUACCGGAGGAAUAAGCACCGGCUAACUUCGUGCCAGCAGCCGCGGUAAUACGAAGGGUGCAAGCGUUAUCCGGAUUCAUUGGGUUUAAAGGGUGCGUAGGCGGAGCUUUAAGUCAGUGGUGAAAUCCUGCAGCGUAACUGUAGACUUGCCAUUGAUACUGGCGCUCUUGAGUGCGCUUGAAGUGGGCGGAAUGUGCCGUGUAGCGGUGAAAUGCUUAGAUAUGGCACAGAACACCAAUUGCGAAGGCAGCUCACUAAGGCGAUACUGACGCUGAGGCACGAAAGCGUGGGGAUCGAACAGGAUUAGAUACCCGGGUAGUCC
rnacentral:rRNA from 1 species